rnacentral:rRNA from 1 species
GGUUAAGUCCUGCAACGAGCGCAACCCCUGUCACUAGUUGCCAUCAUUCAGUUGGGGACUCUAGUGAGACUGCCUACGCAAGUAGAGAGGAAGGUGGGGAUGACGUCAAAUCAUCACGGCCCUUACGUCUUGGGCCACACACGUAACACAAUGGCCGGUACAGAGGGCAGCUACACAGCGAUGUGAUGCAAAUCUCGAAAGCCGGUCUCAGUUCGGAUUGGAGUCUGCAACUCGACUCUAUGAAGCUGGAAUCGCUAGUAAUCGCGCAUCAGCCAUGGCGCGGUGAAUACGUUCCCGGGCCUUGUACACACCGCCCGUCGAGCCAUGGAAGUCUGGGGUACCUGAAGUCGGUGACCGUAACAGGAGCUGCCUAGGGUAAAACAGGUAACUAGGGCUAAGUCGUAACAAGGUAGCCGUACCGGAAGGUGCGGCUGGAACAUCUCAUUUU